GCGUAAAGAGCUCGUAGGCGGUUUGUCGCGUCUGGUGUGAAAACUCAAGGCUCAACCUUGAGCUUGCAUCGGGUACGGGCAGACUAGAGUGUGGUAGGGGUGACUGGAAUUCCUGGUGUAGCGGUGGAAUGCGCAGAUAUCAGGAGGAACACCGAUGGCGAAGGCAGGUCACUGGGCCACUACUGACGCUGAGGAGCGAAAGCAUGGGGAGCGAACAGGAUUAGAUACCCUGGUAGUCCAUGCCGUAAACGUUGGGCACUAGGUGUGGGGCUCAUUCCACGAGUUCCGCGCCGCAGCUAACGCAUUAAGUGCCCCGCCUGGGGAGUACGGCCGCAAGGCUAAAACUCAAAGGAAUUGACGGGGGCCCGCACAAGCGGCGGAGCAUGCGGAUUAAUUCGAUGCAACGCGAAGAACCUUACCAAGGCUUGACAUACACCGGAAUCAUGCAGAGAUGUGUGCGUCUUCGGACUGGUGUACAGGUGGUGCAUGGUUGUCGUCAGCUCGUGUCGUGAGAUGUUGGGUUAAGUCCCGCAACGAGCGCAACCCUCGUCCUAUGUUGCCAGCACGUCAUGGUGGGGACUCAUAGGAGACUGCCGGGGUCAACUCGGAGGAAGGUGGGGAUGACGUCAAAUCAUCAUGCCCCUUAUGUCUUGGGCUUCACGCAUGCUACAAUGGCCGGUACAAAGGGCUGCGAUACCGCGAGGUGGAGCGAAUCCCAAAAAGCCGGUCUCAGUUCGGAUUGGGGUCUGCAACUCGACCCCAUGAAGUCGGAGUCGCUAGUAAUCG
rnacentral:rRNA from 1 species